rnacentral:rRNA from 1 species
AUACGGGGGGUGCAAGCGUUACUCGGAAUCAUUGGGCGUAAAGGGCGCGUAGGCGGCCUGAUCAGUCAGAUGUGAAAGCCCGGGGCUCAACCCCGGAAGAGCAUUUGAUACUGUCAGGCUUGAGUAUGGGAGAGGAAAGUGGAAUUCCUGGUGUAGAGGUGAAAUUCGUAGAUAUCAGGAGGAACACCGGUGGCGAAGGCGACUUUCUGGACCAAUACUGACGCUGAGGCGCGAAAGCGGUGGGGAGC